rnacentral:rRNA from 1 species
UACGGAGGAUUCGAGCGUUAUCCGGAUUUAUUGGGUUUAAAGGGAGCGUAGGCAGGUUGUUAAGUCAGUUGUGAAAGUUUGCGGCUCAACCGUAAAAUUGCAGUUGAUACUGGCAUCCUUGAGUACAGUAGAGGUAGGCGGAAUUCGUGGUGUAGCGGUGAAAUGCUUAGAUAUCACGAAGAACUCCGAUUGCGAAGGCAGCCUGCUGGACUGUAACUGACGCUGAUGCUCGAAAGUGUGGGUAUCAAACAGG